AUACGGAGGAUGCGAGCGUUAUCCGGAUUUAUUGGGUUUAAAGGGAGCGUAGGCGGGAUAUUAAGUCAGCUGUGAAAAUUUGGGGCUCAACCUUAAAAUUGCAGUUGAUACUGGUUUCCUUGAGUACGGUACAGGUGGGCGGAAUUCGUGGUGUAGCGGUGAAAUGCUUAGAUAUCACGAAGAACUCCGAUCGCGAAGGCAGCUCACCGGGCCGGAACUGACACUGAUGCUCGAAAGUGCGGGUAUCAAACAGGAUUAGAUACCCUGGUAGUCCGCACAGUAAACGAUGAAUACUCGCUGUUUGCGAUACACGGUAAGCGGCCAAGCGAAAGCGUUAAGUAUUCCACCUGGGGAGUACGCCGGCAACGGUGAAACUCAAAUGAAUUGACGGGG
rnacentral:rRNA from 1 species